rnacentral:rRNA from 1 species
GACGAACGCUGGCGGCGUGCUUAACACAUGCAAGUCGAACGGUGAAGGGGCCUGCUUUUGUGGGUCCUGGAUGAGUGGCGAACGGGUGAGUAACACGUGAGUAACCUGCCCCCUUCUUCUGGAUAACCGCAUGAAAGUGUGGCUAAUACGGGAUAUUCUGUGCCUGCUGCAUGGUGGGUGUGGGAAAGAUUGCGCCCUUUUUGGGUGUUUUUGGUGGGGGAUGGGCUCGCGGCCUAUCAGCUUGUUGGUGGGGUGAUGGCCUACCAAGGCGGUGACGGGUAGCCGGCCUGAGAGGGUGGACGGUCACACUGGGACUGAGACACGGCCCAGACUCCUACGGGAGGCAGCAGUGGGGAAUAUUGCACAAUGGGCGCAAGCCUGAUGCAGCGACGCCGCGUGAGGGAUGGAGGCCUUCGGGUUGUGAACCUCUUUCGCCAGUGAAGCAGGCCUGCUCCUUGGUGGGUGGGUUGACGUAGCUGGAUAAGAAAGCGCCG